rnacentral:misc_RNA from 1 species
AAGGAGUCUAACAUGUAUGCGAGUAUUUGGGUGGCAAACCCGAGUGCGUAAUGAAAGUGAACGAGUGAGACCACUUAACCGUGGGCAUCACUGACCGAUCUUGAUAUCUCUUGAUAGAUUUGAGUAAGAGCAUAUCUGUUGGGACCCGAAAGAUGGUGAACUAUGCCUGAAUAGGGCGAAGCCAGAGGAAACUCUGGUGGAGGCUCGUAGCCGUUCUGACGUGCAAAUCGAUGGUCAAAUUUGGGUAUAGGGGCGAAAGACUAAUCGAACCAUCUAGUAGCUGGUUCCCUU